UGUAGCUCAAUGGUGGAGCACUUGCCUAGCAUGCACACGGUCCUAGGUUCAAAUCCCAGCA
rnacentral:tRNA from 1 species